AAAGAGACAGAGGGGGAACGGAGAGAGACACACAAGGGGAGGGGGAGAAAGAGACAGAGGAGAAAGAAACAUACAGAGUGACUGGGGGAGGCAAAAAGGCACACAGAGGGACUGGAGAUAAAGAGACACACAUAGGGGCUGUAUAUAUCACUGGUGGAUCGGGGGGGGAGGCAACAGGGCAAUUCCUCCCCCCACCGUGCA